rnacentral:rRNA from 1 species
UACAGAGGUCUCAAGCGUUGUUCGGAUUCAUUGGGCGUAAAGGGCGCGUAGGCGGCGGGGUAAGUCUGGUGUGAAAGCCCAUGGCUUAACUGUGGGUCUGCGGUGGAUACGGGCUGGCUAGAGGUAGGUAGGGGCAAGCGGAAUUCCUGGUGUAGCGGUGAAAUGCGCAGAUAUCAGGAGGAACACCGGUGGCGAAGGCGGCUUGCUGGGCCUUACCUGACGCUGAGGAGCGAAAGCGUGGGGAGCGAACAGG